rnacentral:rRNA from 1 species
ACAGAGGAGCUUGCUCCUCGGGUGACGAGUGGCGGACGGGUGAGUAAUGUCUGGGGAUCUGCCCGAUGGAGGGGGAUAACCACUGGAAACGGUGGCUAAUACCGCAUAACGUCGCAAGACCAAAGUGGGGGACCUUCGGGCCUCACACCAUCGGAUGAACCCAGAUGGGAUUAGCUAGUAGGUGGGGUAACGGCUCACCUAGGCGACGAUCCCUAGCUGGUCUGAGAGGAUGACCAGCCACACUGGAACUGAGACACGGUCCAGACUCC